GUUAGGAAUAUUGGACAAUGGGCGCAAGCCUGAUCCAGCCAUGUCGCGUGAGUGAUGAAGGCCUUCGGGUUGUAAAGCUCUUUAGUCCACGAAUAUAAUGACUGUAGUGGAAGAAUAAGCCCCGGCUAACUUCGUGCCAGCAGCCGCGGUAAUACGAAGGGGGCGAGCGUUAUUCGGAAUCACUGGGCGUAAAGCGUGCGUAGGCUGUUUUGUAAGUCAGAAGUGAAAGCCCAGGGCUUAAGCCGGUAAUUGCUUUUGAAAGUACAAGACUCGAAUUCGGGAGAGGAUAGCGGAAUUGUCAGUGUAGCAGUGAAAUGCGUAGAUAUUGACAGGAACACCAGUGGCGAAAGCGGCUAUCUGGACCGAUAUUGACGCUGAGGCACGAAAGCGUGGGGAGCAAACAGGAUUAGAUACCCUGGUAGUCC
rnacentral:rRNA from 1 species